rnacentral:rRNA from 1 species
AGAGUUUGAUCCUGGCUCAGAGUGAACGCUGGCGGCGUGCCUAACACAUGCAAGUCGAACGGAAACAGAAGGUAGCUUGCUACUUUGCUGUCGAGUGGCGGACGGGUGAGUAAUGCUUGGGAAUAUGCCAAAACGUGGGGGACAACAGUUGGAAACGACUGCUAAUACCGCAUAAUGUCUUCGGACCAAAGCAGGGGACCUUCGGGCCUUGCGCGUUUUGAUUAGCCCAAGUGGGAUUAGCUAGUUGGUAAGGUAAUGGCUUACCAAGGCGACGAUCCCUAGCUGGUCUUAGAGGAUGACCAGCCACACUGGAACUGAGACACGGUCCAGACUCCUACGGGAGGCAGCAGUGGGGAAUAUUGCACAAUGGGGGAAACCCUGAUGCAGCCAUGCCGCGUGUGUGAAGAAGGCUUUCGGGUUGUAAAGCACUUUCAGUGGGGAGGAAAGGGUUGUAGUUAAUAACUGCAAUCUGUGACGUUACCCACAGAAGAAGCACCGGCUAACUCCGUGCCAGCAGCCGCGGUAAU